rnacentral:rRNA from 1 species
GAUGAACGCUGUCUACAGGCUUAACACAUGCAAGUCGAGGGGAAACGACGGGGAAGCUUGCUUCCCCGGGCGUCGACCGGCGCACGGGUGAGUAACGCGUAUCCAACCUGCCUCUGACUGAGGGAUAACCCGUCGAAAGUCGGCCUAAUACCUCAUGGCAUCGUCUGCGGGCAUCCAACGACGAUUAAAGAUUUCAUCGGUCAGGGAUGGGGAUGCGUCUGAUUAGCUUGUUGGCGGGGUAACGGCCCACCAAGGCUACGAUCAGUAGGGGUUCUGAGAGGAAGGUCCCCCACAUUGGAACGGAGACACGGUCCAAACUCCUACGGGAGGAAGCAGUGAGGAAUAUUGGUCAAUGGGCGGGAGCCUGAACCAGCCAAGUAGCGUGCAGGAUGACGGCCCUAUGGGUUGUAAACUGCUUUUAUGCGGGGAUAAAGUGAGGGACGUGUCCUUCAUUGCAGGUACCGCAUGAAUAAGGACCGUCUAAUUCCGUG